rnacentral:rRNA from 1 species
GCAGGUAGGGAAAUCUUCCACAAUGGGCGAAAGCCUGAUGGAGCAACGCCGCGUGUGUGAUGAAGGGUUUCGGCUCGUAAAACACUGUUGUAAGAGAAGAAUGACAUUGAGAGUAACUGUUCAAUGUGUGACGGUAUCUUACCAGAAAGGAACGGCUAAAUACGUACCAG